rnacentral:rRNA from 1 species
AGUCGAACGAUGAAGCCCUUCGGGGUGGAUUAGUGGCGAACGGGUGAGUAACACGUGGGCAAUCUGCCCUGCACUCUGGGACAAGCCCUGGAAACGGGGUCUAAUACCGGAUACGAGCCUCCCGGGCAUCUGGGAGGUUGGAAAGCUCCGGCGGUGCAGGAUGAGCCCGCGGCCUAUCAGCUUGUUGGUGAGGUAACGGCUCACCAAGGCGACGACGGGUAGCCGGCCUGAGAGGGCGACCGGCCACACUGGGACUGAGACACGGCCCAGACUCCUACGGGAGGCAGCAGUGGGGAAUAUUGCACAAUGGGCGAAAGCCUGAUGCAGCGACGCCGCGUGAGGGAUGACGGCCUUCGGGUUGUAAACCUCUUUCAGCAGGGAAGAAGCGAAAGUGACGGUACCUGCAGAAGAAGCGCCGGCUAACUACGUGCCAGCAGCCGCGGUAAUACGUAGGGCGCAAGCGUUGUCCGGAAUUAUUGGGCGUAAAGAGCUCGUAGGCGGCUUGUCGCGUCGAUUGUGAAAGCCCGGGGCUUAACUCCGGGUCUGCAGUCGAUACGGGCAGGCUAGAGUGUGGUAGGGGAGAUCGGAAAUUCCUGGUGUAGCGGUGAAAUGCGCAGAUAUCAGGAGGAACACCGGGUGG